UACAGAGGGUGCGAGCGUUAAUCGGAAUUACUGGGCGUAAAGCGUGCGUAGACGGUUAUUUAAGUCGGGUGUGAAAGCCCCGGGCUCAACCUGGGAAUUGCAUUCGAGACUGAAUAGCUAGGGUACGGUAGAGGGAAGCGGAAUUUCCGGUGUAGCGGUGAAAUGCGUAGAUAUCGGAAGGAACAUCAGUGGCGAAAGCGGCGCACUGGACCACAACUGACGCUGAGGCGCGAAAGCUAGGGGAGCAAACAGG
rnacentral:rRNA from 1 species